rnacentral:rRNA from 1 species
UACGGAGGUGCGAGCGUUGUCCGGAAUUCAUUGGGCGUAAAGGGCGCGUAGGUGGCCCGGUAAGCGGGUGGUGAAAGCUACGGGGCUCAACCCCGAGUCGGCCAUGCGAACUGCAUGGGCUUGAGCACUGUAGAGGCAGGCGGAAUUCCGGGUGAUAGCGGUGGAAUGCGUAGAGAUCCGGAAGAACACCGGUGGCGAAGGCGGGCCCACUG